UUUAAAAUUAUUUAUAAAAGCAAAUAUUUGUUAAAUCGUAACUUUUAAUUUUUGAUGAUUAACUUUAUAUGUAAAAUUUAAUCUAACUAUGUAAUAACACCUAUGUAAUCAAACAGUACACUUGUACUUACAUUAUAAUUACAUUGUGACAAACAAACAUGUCAUUAUAAUUAUAAUAUUGUGUAAUUAUUAGGUUGUGUAAUUAUUAUCCUAGUAAUUACAUCAAUUCCAAUUACCUCGUGGCAUUUCAAACAAACCCAAAUGUUCAGGUAGUGUGCGAUUGAAGCUUUGGGUUGUCAAAUUGCGGUUUGAGGUACGCAGAAACGCUAAAGUUAAACGAGAGUUGAGAGUAAAAUAGUAAGGCAUUUUGCAAGCAAUUCAUGUGUGAUUCAAGUGUACGAACCUGAAGCUACAUGAACCGGAUAGAAGAACUAGUUCCAAGUGCCUGUCUUUUAUUCUAGUUUCAUUAUUGUAGGGAUUUUGAGUUGUACUUUUCAGCUUUCUCUAGAAGCAAUUGUACUAGGUACUCUGAGUGUAUUAUUUAAGUUAGAGUUAACUUAAAAUUAUCGCAACAGCCUGAGGUUGGUUGCCACAAAGGGUUAUAGGUAAUCCUUAGAUUUACAAGAGUUUUGUAAACAUUAUUUUUGGCUCAGUGAUUUAGUGAUAUGUUGGAAACAAUCCUACUGGGUAGUAGGUCGUAUUUUUUC